rnacentral:RNase_P_RNA from 1 species
GCGGAUGGCCGGAUGGCCGCGAGGCGGGGCAACCCGCCGCGAGGAAAGUCCGGACUCCAUGAAGAAACGGUGCCGGGUAACGCCCGGCCGGGGCAACCCGAGGGAAAGCGCCACAGAGACGAGACCGCCCGGCCUUCGGGCCGGGUAAGGGUGAAACGGUGGGGUAAGAGCCCACCGCGGGACUGGCAACAGGACUGGCACGGCAAGCCCCACCGGGAGCAACGCCGAAUAGGGGCCUCGCGCGGGGCCGGUCGGGGCAACCCGAGACCGCCCGCAGGGUACUUCGACCCGAGAGGCCCGGGUUGGCGGCUAGAUCGCGCGGGCAACCGCGUGGCCAGAGGAAUGGUCAUCGAAGGGGGGAAACCCCCGGAACAAGAUCCGGCUUACAGGCCAUCCGCGCGU